CCCCGCGCCCCGGCGCCCGGCCCCCGAGCCGAUCUCCGCGCGAGGAAGAGCUUCUGGGCAGCAGCGCCAGCAGGAGGUGCUCCCAGCUCCUCUCCCCGCGAGCCCCUGGGGGUCCAUCCUGAGCCCUUUCUGUUCCCGGGGCCAUCUCCCCCCUCUUUCUCCUGGCCCUGAUGUGGAAAGCCGCUGCCGGACUUCGGUUUUCCAGAAUGAGGUUCCCCAGCAGAGCAAGUCGGGAGAGAGCUGCUUCGAACCCGGCACCUACCUCUAGACCUGGGCGCCUUCCACGAACCGAGGCUACACCCGCCACCUGCCUCUUCCCCUUUGCUUAUUCCUCUGCCCGGGGUCAGAGAUCACGAGAGGUCACCCGGGCAGAAAGUCAGUGGUCAGUUUCCUGAAAUGGUCGCCACGCUGUGCAAUUUACAAAGUGGCUUGUCCCGUAUCAAGAAGGUUAUAUUUUCCUGCACUUACCGAGUCAGCAUUUCUCAAACACGUGUGUGUACCUGUGUCUUUCCCUCCAUCGGACGCCCCUGUCUUCCGCCUUCACACCUCCACCGCUUGCCUUCGCUGAAGAAAGCCUGGCCCUGAGUCUCCCUUUGAAAAUCACAGCAAAGAGACAGCUUUGCAAGAAUGACAGCUGUUUGAGGGAAGUAAAUUGGCUCCGGUUUUUCCCGGAGAAGCUAUGAGAAGAUCCAGAAGCCGAAGCAGUUGUAGGAGAGCGGCAGCAGGUGGCGGGGCCGGCAGGGGGGGUGAUGCCAGAAGAGAUGGGCAAGAAUUCAGCUGGGCAUGAGAGUGGUCUGGCCUAGGAAUUGCUGGAGAAAAAGCUUCUUCCCACCGUGGCAUCCGGGGAAUAGAAAAUAAAAUCUCUUUAUUCUCAUCCCCUC